CCUACGGGGGGCAGCAGUGGGGAAUAUUGCGCAAUGGGCGAAAGCCUGACGCAGCGACGCCGCGUGAGGGAUGAAGGUCUUCGGAUCGUAAACCUCUGUCAGCAGGGAAGCACGGUCACUGUGCUAAUCAGCAGUGAAUUGACGGUACCUGCAAAGGAAGCACCGGCUCACUCCGUGCCAGCAGCCGCGGUAAUACGGAGGGUGCGAGCGUUAAUCGGAAUUACUGGGCGUAAAGCGCUCGUAGGCGGUAUGUCAAGUCAAGGGUGAAAUCCCCGCGCUCAACGUGGGAACUGACUUUGAAACUGGCAAACUGGAGUGGGUGAGAGGAUAGUGGAAUUCGAGGUGUAGGAGUGAAAGCCGUAGAUAUCUGGAGGAACAUCAGUGGCGAAGGCGACUAUCUGGCACAUAACUGACGCUGAGGAGCGAAAGCGUGGGUAGCAAACAGGAUUAGAUACCCUUGUAGUC
rnacentral:rRNA from 1 species